AUUGAACGCUGGCGGCAUGCCUUACACAUGCAAGUCGAACGGUAACAGGUCUUCGGAUGCUGACGAGUGGCGAACGGGUGAGUAAUACAUCGGAACGUGCCUAGUAGUGGGGGAUAACUACUCGAAAGAGUGGCUAAUACCGCAUGAGAUCUACGGAUGAAAGCAGGGGAUCGCAAGACCUUGUGCUACUAGAGCGGCCGAUGGCAGAUUAGGUAGUUGGUGGGAUAAAAGCUUACCAAGCCGACGAUCUGUAGCUGGUCUGAGAGGACGAUCAGCCACACUGGGACUGAGACACGGCCCAGACUCCUACGGGAGGCAGCAGUGGGGAAUUUUGGACAAUGGGCGAAAGCCUGAUCCAGCAAUGCCGCGUGCAGGAUGAAAGGCCCUC
rnacentral:rRNA from 1 species